GUAUGAUUCUUUACCGUCGCCGACAAGGCGUUAGCCAGGCCGAUCGACGCAUUAAUGACAUUCUAAGACAUACGUUUGGGGGUAGAUAAAGACAUAGAUCCCUUGCGGGACCUACAAUAAGGUGCACAGGUGUUGAGAAAGGUCUCCAAAAGGAAGAGCGAUCGAGGACUAAGGAGAGCUCGGAACGUGCACAUGCCUUCGUUGCCAAAGGCCAGCGACAAUCCCUACGAUCUACCAAACUUCGCCCGAUCAUCUCCCCCGUUCGGAUUUGCUUUUCGAUAAUGAUCCUUCCGCAGGUUCACCUACGGAAA
rnacentral:misc_RNA from 1 species